rnacentral:siRNA from 1 species
AAGUUAGCUCCCCAAUGGUAUCCU